rnacentral:rRNA from 1 species
GACGAACGCUGGCGGCGUGCUUAACACAUGCAAGUCGAACGGAAAGGCCCUGCUUUUGUGGGGUGCUCGAGUGACGAACGGGUGAGUAACACGUGAGUAACCUGCCCUUGACUUUGGGAUAACUUCAGGAAACUGGGGCUAAUACCGGAUAGGAGCUCCUGCUGCAUGGUGGGGGUUGGAAAGUUUCGGCGGUUGGGGAUGGACUCGCGGCUUAUCAGCUUGUUGGUGGGGUAGUGGCCUACCAAGGCUUUGACGGGUAGCCGGCCUGAGAGGGUGACCGGCCACAUUGGGACUGAGAUACGGCCCAGACUCCUACGGGAGGCAGCAGUGGGGAAUAUUGCACAAUGGGCGGAAGCCUGAUGCAGCAACGCCGCGUGCGGGAUGACGGCCUUCGGGUUGUAAACCGCUUUCGCCUGUGACGAAGCGUGAGUGACGGUAAUGGGUAAAGAAGCACCGGCUAACUACGUG